GCGGGUGUGGCGAAAUUGGCAGACGCACCAGAUUUAGGUUCUGGCGCCGCAAGGCGUGGGGGUUCAAGUCCCUCCAUCCGCACCA
rnacentral:tRNA from 2 species